rnacentral:ribozyme from 1 species
GUGUCGACAACAAGGAAGAUGAUCUCUCGUGCAGCUGGGUUGUAUCUGGCAUGCUCGAGUAUGCGAUGCGCAAGACUGUCCCGCGGGUGAUGGCGCAGACUCCUCUCACUGACAACUUUCACGCCUCCGACUACCCCGAGCCACA